CGAGGGGCAGCAUGGUCUUAGCUUGCUAAGACUGAUGGCGACCGGCGCACGGGUGCGUAACGCGUAUGCAACUUGCCUCACAGAGGGGGAUAACCCGUCGAAAGACGGACUAAUACCGCGUACACUCUAUGUUGGGCAUCCAAUGUAGAGGAAAUGAAAUUCGCUGUGAGAUAGGCAUGCGUCCCAUUAGCUAGUUGGUGAGGUAACGGCUCACCAAGGCGACGAUGGGUAGGGGAACUGAGAGGUUGAACCCCCACACUGGUACUGAGACACGGACCAGACUCCUACGGGAGGCAGCAGUGAGGAAUAUUGGUCAAUGGGCGAGAGCCUGAACCAGCCAAGUCGCGUGAAGGAUGACUGUCUUAUGGAUUGUAAACUUCUUUUAUACGGGAAUAACAAGAGCCACGUGUGGCUCCCUGCAUGUACCGUAUGAAUAAGCAUCGGCUAACUCCGUGCCAGCAGCCGCGGUAAUACGGAGGAUGCGAGCGUUAUCCGGAUUUAUUGGGUUUAAAGGGUGCGUAGGCGGCCUGUUAAGUCAGCGGUGAAAUCUAGGAGCUUAACUCCUAAAUUGCCAUUGAUACUGGCGGGCUUGAGUGUAGAUGAGGUAGGCGGAAUGCGUGGUGUAGCGGUGGAAUGCAUAGAUAUCACGCAGAACUCCGAUUGCGAAGGCAGCUUACUAAGGUACAACUGACGCUGAAGCACGAAAGCGUGGGUAUCAAACAGGAUUAGAUACCCUGGUAGUCCACGCAGUAAACGAUGAUAACUGGGCGUAUGCGAUAUACAGUAUGCUCCUAAGCGAAAGCGU
rnacentral:rRNA from 1 species